UACGUAGGGGUCGAGCGUUGUCCGGAGUUACUGGGCGUAAAGAGUGUGUAGGCGGUGCUCUAAGUUCGGUGUGAAAUCUCCCGGCUCAACUGGGAGGGUGCGCCGGAAACUGGAGUGCUGGAGCGCGGGAGAGGAAAGCGGAAUUCCUGGUGUAGCGGUGAAAUGCGUAGAUAUCAGGAGGAACACCGGCGGUGUAGACGGCUUUCUGGACCGUAGCUGACGCUGAGACACGAAAGCGUGGGUAGCAAACAGG
rnacentral:rRNA from 1 species